GGGCCCGCACAAGCGGUGGAGCAUGUGGUUUAAUUCGAUGAUACGCGAGGAACCUUACCAGGGCUUAAAUGUAAGUUGCAUUAGUUAGAGAUAGCUAUUUCUUCGGACUACUUACAAGGUGCUGCAUGGUUGUCGUCAGCUCGUGCCGUGAGGUGUCAGGUUAAGUCCUAUAACGAGCGCAACCCCUAUCGUUAGUUGCCAGCGGGUCAUGCCGGGUACUCUAGCGAGACUGCCGGUGCAAACCGAGAGGAAGGUGGGGAUGACGUCAAAUCAUCACGGCCCUUACGUCCUGGCUACACACGUGCUACAAUGGCCGGUACAGAGAGCAGCCACUACGCGAGUAGGCGCG
rnacentral:rRNA from 1 species